rnacentral:rRNA from 1 species
CAACGCUGCGGCGUCCCUACACAUGCAAGUCGCACGAGAAAGUGGAGCAAUCCAUGAGUACAGUGGCGUACGGGUAAGUAACACGUACUAACCUACCUUCGAGUGGGGAAUUUCCUUGGUAAACCGGGGCUAAUACCGCAUAACAUCUUCUGGCUGAGAUCCCGGUUGAUCAAAGCAGCAAUGCGCUUGAAGAGGGGGUCGCGGCUGAUUAGCUAGUUGGUGAGGUAACGGCUCACCAAGCAGAUAAUCAGUAGCCGGCCUGAGAGGGCGCUCGGUCACACUGGAACUGAAACACGGUCCAGACUCCUACGGGAGGCAGCAGUGGGGAAUUUUGCGCAAUGGGGGAAACCCUGACGCAGCAACGCCGCGUGGAGGAUGAAGUCCCUUGGGACGUAAACUCCUUUCGAUCGGGACGAUUAUGACGGG